rnacentral:lncRNA from 1 species
UGGGAGGCCGAGGUGGGCAGAUCACCUGAGGUCAGGAGUUCCAGACCAGCCUGGCUAACAUGGUGAAACCCCAUUUCUACAAAAAAUACAAAAAAUUAGCCAGGCAUGGUGGCAUGCCCCUGUAAUCCUAGCUACUUGGGAGGCUGAGGCAGGAGAAUCGCUUGAACCCGGGAAGCAGAGGUUGCAGUGAGCCGAGAUUGCAUCAUUGCACUCCAGCUAGGGCAAGAAGAGCGAAACUCUUAAAAAAAAAAAAAGAGAAGAAAAAAGAAAGAAACACAUUAACAAUUAGCAGUCAUUGAUAAGUACUAUUUGUUAAUCAAUAGUAAGACAAAAAAGCAGCAGGCAGAGUCCCUAACCCCACUCAGUGAGGCUGGGAAAGGGUCCCUGUGGUGAAUUUGGGAGGAGGAGACAAGUGGGUGGAAAGGACAUAGGAAGAGGUCCGUCUGGGGCAGAGAAGCAGGGGCAGCUGGCCAGUUCGCUUCCCCACCACUUGACACUCCCAUUUCUUGUCAUGGCCCUUAAGAGGGGGAGCACCUGGACCCCAUGAGACCACAGUUCCAGGGCAGGUGGGUACCUCGGGCUAGGCCAGUGAGUGGCCCUGCUCCCCAAAAAUCCCUCUUGACCCUGUUCCCACUGCAGGAGGUAUCAUUGCACUAAGUAACACCGUGGCCUGCUGUCUCCUCCUGCAGCCAACCGAUCAAGAGGACAGCACUGUACGGCGUGCGGAGACCCCCCCUGGGGGGAAGGAAUCACACUGGGUCCAGCAUCUCAGGAUGAACAACACCAAGACAAAGCCUAAUAGGAUGAUGAGCACUCAUCUUUUAGAUACAGAUAUCACUCUGAGUGGGACUUCACUGGCAUAACUGUAUUUUAGAUGUCGACUUUAAGUGAUCAACAAUGAAUUCCUAGAAUAUCGCUAAUAUGCACCAGUGCUGUGGAAGAUACAUAUCUCCACUGAUCAGGACAGAGAAAACUGUUAUAUAAGUCAUCUAACCACAUAGAACAUCAUUUUUCUCAUUAAAAGAAAAAAGAUGU